UCUCCAGGUCGACUUGUUCCAAUAUCAUUUCAGAUUAGGAUGAGGUCGUUCUCAGCAAAAACUCGCUGUACUACCUUUUGAUUGUAUCUCGAAGCCAUUCGAUGUUUUAAUGCUUCUUCCCUAAUCCGAACUCUUUUUUGGACUUCCGAAAGUAGGUCGAGUUCUUCCCUUUGAAGUUGGGAGUUGGCUU